CCUACGGGGGGCUGCAGUGGGGAAUAUUGGACAAUGGGGGGAACCCUGAUCCAGCCAUGCCGCGUGUGUGAAGAAGGCCCUCGGGUUGUAAAGCACUUUCAGUGAGGAAGAACGCCUGGUGGUUAAUACCCAUCAGGAAAGACAUCACUCACAGAAGAAGCACCGGCUAACUCCGUGCCAGCAGCCGCGGUAAUACGGAGGGUGCGAGCGUUAAUCGGAAUUACUGGGCGUAAAGCGCGCGUAGGUGGCUUGAUAAGCCGGUUGUGAAAGCCCCGGGCUCAACCUGGGAACGGCAUCCGGAACUGUCAAGCUAGAGUGCACGAGAGGAAGGUAGAAUUCCCGGUGUAGCGGUGAAAUGCGUAGAGAUCGGGAGGAAUACCAGUGGCGAAGGCGGCCUUCUGGACUGACACUGACACUGAGGUGCGAAAGCGUGGGUAGCAAACAGGAUUAGAUACCCGUGUAGUC
rnacentral:rRNA from 1 species